UACGACCAUGCCGUAGAUACUCCACUUCAAGCAGUUCUGGGGUGACUGCUGGUAAAAUUGCUGGAGCUGGCCUUUUGUUUGUUGGUGGAGGGAUUGGUGGCACUAUCCUGUAUGCCAAAUGGGAUUCCCAUUUCCGGGAAAGUGUAGAAAAAACUAUUCCUUAUUCAGACAAGCUCUUUGGGAUGGUUCUUGGCUCUGCACCUUAUACUGUUCCAUUGCCAAAGAAACCGAUUCAGUCUGGUCCACUAAAAAUCUCCAGCGUAUCAGAGGUGAUGACAGACUCUGAACUGCCCAUGGCACAGACCCAGGAAACGAACGGGGAUACUCCAGCUUCAGCAGGGGCAGCUCAAAUUAUUUCUGCAGCAGGUGAUCCGGCCCCUGAGGUUG
rnacentral:lncRNA from 1 species